rnacentral:lncRNA from 1 species
GGCCGCCGAAAGUGCCGCCGAACAUGCAUGAGUUUCGCCUCUGUCUGGGAGUUUCGGCCGCCGAAGGUGCCGCCGAACCUGCCUGACUUUCGGCUCUGGAGGGACUUUCGGCCGCCGAACCUGCCGCCGAAAGUGCCCUGUCCAGCCUUUCUUUGCAUGUUUUGCAUGGAUGUUUUGAGGUGUUUUAGGGGGUUUUUGGGGGAUGUUUUUAGAGUUAUGUUCUAGUUGUUUGGUCCCUCAUUUGAGUCCACCUGUGUAGGUUCGGACCCGAGGAACCGAGGACCC